UACGGAAGGCAGCAGUGGGGAAUAUUGGACAAUGGGCGAAAGCCUGAUCCAGCAAUGCCGCGUGAGUGAUGAAGGCCUUAGGGUUGUAAAGCUCUUUUACCCGGGAUGAUAAUGACAGUACCGGGAGAAUAAGCUCCGGCUAACUCCGUGCCAGCAGCCGCGGUAAUACGGAGGGAGCUAGCGUUAUUCGGAAUUACUGGGCGUAAAGCGCACGUAGGCGGCUUUGUAAGUUAGAGGUGAAAGCCUGGAGCUCAACUCCAGAAUUGCCUUUUAAGACUGCAUCGCUCGAAUCCAGGAGAGGUGAGUGGAAUUCCGAGUGUAGAGGUGAAAUUCGUAGAUAUUCGGAAGAACACCAGUGGCGAAGGCGGCUCACUGGACUGGUAUUGACGCUGAGGUGCGAAAGCGUGGGGAGCAAACAGGGAUUAGAUACC
rnacentral:rRNA from 1 species